GCUACUAUAUAUAUUAUUCCUAUAGGCUGGGUUAAAGGUCAUGAAGCAUCCAUUGACAGGGGGAAAUGAAGACCGCACAGCUUGGAGAUCAGGUUAAAGCCAGAGGACGUACUGAACGUGUGUGUGGGGGGGAGGUCAUAGUUCAGCCUUAAACCUCUCUUUCCAACUAGUACCCCUUUCUCUUUUUCAAGUACCCCUCUUUGUCACGAGACAUUCCCCCCAAAAUUCCUUCUUUCCCUCCAUCCUGCUCUUGUUCACCCCCCCCCACCCCCCCUCUGUUACACUUCAUCCCCCCUCUUCUUUCUCCUUCCCCCGUGUCAGACAGGCUGUUGGUUUCUCCGUGCGUUUUGAGGCCGUGUGCUACCUGAGCUGGUGUGUGCUGUGUGUUUGUGGCAGGUCUCUGGCAUGGCGCCCCGCUGAUCGGUGGCUCGGAGGUGUGUUUGACAUGGAGAAGGGCCCACCAGCAGCGCAGACUAACCCUGCGGAGGCCAGCUCUUCAGCUGUCCCUGCCUGCCAGGGCCUCUGCCUCCAGUCAACAACAAGCCAGCUCAUCCAGCAGCAACCUGAUCUCCAGCUGCCAUGAUCUACGUCUAUGAAGAUGUGUCAUGUCUGCGUCUGUGAAGAUGUGUCGUGGUCUACAUCUAUGAAGAUGUGUCAUGGUCUACGUUUUUGGAGAUGAUUCGUGGUCUACAUCUAUGAAGAUGUGUCGUGGUCUACGUCUGUGGAGAUGUGUCGUGGUCUACGUCUAUUAAGAUGUGUCGUGGUCUACUUCUGUGAAGAUGUGUCGUGGUCUACUUCUGUGAAGAUGUGUCGUGGUCUACGUCUAUGAAGAUGUGGCGUGGUCUACGUCUAUGAAGAUGUGUCGUGGUCUACUUAUAUGAAGAUGUGUCGUGGUCUACGUCUAUGAAGAUGUCAUGUUCUACUUCUGUGAUGAUGUUUCAUGGUAUACGUCUAUGGAGAUGUGUUGUGGUCUAAGUCUAUGGAGAUGUCAUGGUCUACUUCUAUGAAGAUAUGUCGUGAUCUACUUCUAUGAAGAUGUGUCGUGGUCUGCGUCUAUGGAGAUGUGUUGUGGCCCUAUGUUUAUGGAGAUGUGUUGUGGCCUACAUCUAUGAAGAUAUGUUGUGGUUUAUGUAAAUGAAGAUGUGUGUUUCAUUUUUAUCAUUUCAUUUAUUGUUUUCCCCAUUAUCGGGCAGAUAUUUGCGUCCAGCUUCUAGCAGGACAAUGUUGUGAGAACGGUUAUUGGUUUUCAUAACCCCACCAGUGCUCUAGACUGAGACCCUUUUGUAUUAAUUAGUCACUUUAAUUUGUUUUAAUUGGGUUGCAUUGUUUUAAUUAGGUUUUUGUAUUUUUAUUAGGUUGCAUUGGUAUGAGCUGCACAUUCUGCACAGCACCUCAAUUCCCAAUCAACACAUCAUGUUUUUUGGAGGCUAACAUCUGGAUUCAGGUCAAACAUUACAGCGUAUUAUCCUCAUGAUUCAUGUAUUAAAAGUAUCUGUCCCGGUACUUGUUUCGCUGCAUACAGCCUGUAGCAUUGUAACGAGCGAGCCACUCUCUCAUUUUUCUUUCCUGGUGAAAACAAAUGCCCCAGGAGAAUACGUGCUUUGUGAUUGUAUAAAACAUUCAAACCCAAUUGCGAAGAGAACACAGCCAUCCCUUUGUCACAGUUGAGGAAAUUAGGUUCUCAGUUUCAUGUGGAAAUGCUUUUUAUUUCAUAACUCUACAUUAUAUUUUUACAACAGAUGUAUAUUUCUUUUACAACAGAUUUUGGAAAGACCACCAGCAACAAUUUAUAAACAUCACAUUUCAACAUUACAUUUACUGUUGAAUACAUAUAUCAGUGGGUAUUAUAAUAGAACUGGUGAGCAAGCUAAUGUGUUUUUGGUUUCCAUUUAGCAACUUGGGGAAUUAAAUCCAAAUAAUUAGCCUGGGAUAUCAGUCCACAUAAAGAUUCAAGUAAAUUUAUGUUUGUUGAACAAAAGCCACAAUUCUCAGGCCAUAUAAUAAUUUCGAACAGGAACAGCCUAAACAUCAACUGAUAAUUGAUGACAAUCCCUGGAUCAGGUUGGACAUAUUUUCAAACACCACACUGGUAUUUCUACAAUACCAUCACAGUAGUCUGCCACUUACACCGGAAGGUAACAUCUGCAGUUGCUUCAUCCAUUUCAGGACUUAAAGGGAUAGUUCAAACUUGAUUCAUAGUUGGGUGAAAUUAUGCUUAACCUGACAGUAAUCUGUCGCACUAGAAUCACUUUCUGGAAUGCAUACUGACAAAACAGCUGGCAGAAUUUAGCGACUUCAAACUGGCACUGCGGAACCGCCACACCACCACUCUGUUGUUUGGCAACGAAGUCCUCGGUAUCUAAUGAAUGCUAAGUGGCUGUAUAUGGAGAUACAUUAAAACGUCUUCUUCCUGAAGAAAACCCACAGUUCUAUGGCAUUUGUGAACAAAACUGACCGGUAAGCACAGGAAGUCUAGUGGAUCCGUUUAGUUGCAGUGUCAUGAGUGGAGGAGCCGGUCGCAGGGGUUUGAGGAAGAAAUUCGUUUUAUUACUGAAGUUCAAACGCCGUAUUGUAAACAAACUGAGCAUGGUGUUAUUGUUUAUUUUACUACCAGAAAACCGUAACCGGGAAAACCAAAUGGCGAUGAUAGUUUACUUCUCCCUCCCCAUGUGAGCCGCUCCGCUUAAGUCCUUGGUACCAAAUGUAUAGUGGAAACAAGUCUGGAGCCAACAGUAGCAUAAAUCAGCCCUGGUACUGGGGCAAAGCACCAGUGGAAACGCGGCACAACACCACUAGCCUUAGUUUGUAGUGUUUUGGAGAGAGUUUCCACUUGCAAUACAGCUUUUGUGGUUCAGGACGCACAGUUUCAAUUUGUGAAUUUGGACAAUGCCAAUAAUGCAAAUUUCACCCAAAUAGGAAUCUAGGUCAAACUAUACCUUUAAUAAAAAUGUUUUUAUACACAGUGAUUGUUUAAAAAUAGCCGAAUAAGCUUUGUUCAACAGCAAAACCCUAUAAGAACCCAAAAUAUAUGCUUGUCUCACGGUUUUUAAACAACAUACAUUUUUAUGUCAUUUACAACAGGCUCAUAUCCAGAGCGACUUACAGUUAGGGCACUCAUCUUUAGAAAGUCACUGUAGGUGGGCCAGUCACAAGCAAAUAGAAAUAAACACUAUUUAGACUCAAAACCUGGUUAAAACUCGUGAAGAUUAUUAUACAUUUUUCUUUUUACGUGACACUGCCAAAAAAACAUUGGUGGCUCAAUCAUAAGCCAACAGCAGAAAAUCUCUGGCACACUGACAAAUCUGGAGCUCUGACUACAGUCAAGUGAUUGAAACACUACAGUUAAAAGAUAAGCUUUUGUCUUGGUUGUGUGUAUGGUUUUAGUGUAGGUUGCUAGUGGUUUUUUUUGUAUGUUUAGUGUGGGUGUAUGUGUUUUUAGUGUGGGUUUUCAACUGUGAGGGUGUGUGUGUAAACUACGUUUUUAGUGUAUAUGUGUGUCUGAAUAUAGUAGGGUGGACAGAGGAUGGAGGGAGGCGUGGGUGUAGAUGGAUAGCACCACUGAGUGGACCACUAAAAGCUGGUUACCUAGACUUUACCCACCCACUCAGAGAGACUGCUCUUGUCUACUGCUCCCACAUGCUAAAACACUUAUUGGAUACAACACACACACACACACACACACAGAUUGCAAAAGUUCCAAUCUUAUUAAAACUACAUUCCAAGGCAGACUGACGAGCAGUCAGAGAGACGUGAACACAUCCUUGUGUGUUGUUGCCAUAUGCGAUGGUGAUGAGCAGCGCAUGACCAGAACCGGAGCGUAACGUCUUAUCAGACAAAGUCGCUACUCAGGGCAGGAGGCUGAUGUGUCUCAGACAGCAGUCAUGAGGUCUCCGUCGCAUUUGACACGCAGGGUCCCGUGGGUAAGACAUAAAAACAGAGAGCUACACGCCCCCUCACACACACACACACACGCACGCACACACACACCAAUGACAUUCACUUAAAGGAUGAGUUGAGUAGGUCCAGACAAUUUGUUUCACACACUGUUGAUGUGACUCCGUCAAUUCACUUAAUUUUGACCUCAUCUGUAGGUGUUGACCGAAACAUUGAGUAUUUCAAUGUUUUAUAUGCCUGUGUAAUUCUGACAGUUAUUUGUUUACUACCUGUUUCCUACUAAGGCCAAGUUAUUUAAUACAGAAGCAGCUCUCUAUGACUCAACAAGAGAUCAUAGGUCUCAUCACUGGUCCCCCUUUUUCAGGGUACUGUUCCUAAAUUAAAGACAUUUACUGUUAAAGGUUGAAUCAGUAUUGUGAAGUUUGUCAACUCCUCUUUUAACUCUUAAAGAAGUCUGAUUGACUGGCUGCAUGACCGGCUGCUUGACUGACCAUCGGGCUGAUUGUUUGACCGGUUGUUUGAAUGACUGGCUAGUCACAAGGUGGUGUCAUUAGGAGAAAAAGCUCCAGGCUAGUAUCAGAACAGCCACACCAGAGCACUUGAAAUGUAAUGAACACUUAUGAAACUGUACAGAGGACUGGGUUCACCUACCUCCUGAUAUGAAAAGACCCGCUUGUCUGUGUGGCAAAAUAGGAUUGAACGUGCCAGGAAAUACUUCUCUACACCCAACUAUUCAGGCAAAUUGUGAUAAACGUGUAGGGAUCAAGUGAGCGAAUAAAGACGUUGGAGUCAAGUGUGUAUAAAGAUGAAAGGCUGUGUCACUUCUCCAGUUUUACUUGAGGGGACAGCAACUUUCCUCUCACAGUAACACAAGUUGCCUCUGAAGUUCCACGGGCAAAUGAAUUAAGAGUGGAAUUAUCUUAUGGAGUUACCACUUAAAGCCGAUCACACGCGCACACACGCUAAGCUCUG
ensembl:lncRNA